CAUUCAAGGCAAGUUAAAUGUGGAACAUAGUGUAGAAAGGGGAUUAUUGCAUUGACAAGAGAAGCCUUAGAUACUGUUUUGGAUGCAGCAUAGCACCAUUGUUUAGAAUGCCCACGUCCAAAGUCAGAACAGCCCUGAUGAUGUCCAGCCUCCAGUAAGAGAGGGCAGAAAAUGGCACUCAUGCAGGAUGAGACAAAUUCACUGUGGUGACCACCAAUUCCAUAGAUGAACAACAGUGGCUAAAUCUACUAAUCAUAAUUGCUGUCUAUCUGCAUCUCCUAGGUUUAGACACAGUAUGCCCCUCAAUAAGAGUAGUGGCUGAACUGUAACAGCAGAGAAGGCUAUUGCAUUCAUAUCUCCAAGCAUAUCCUGAAACUGUGUUGCUCUACCAGGGCUCCUAUUAGGUCCUUAAGAAAGAAAAUAAGAUGAAGUGCACUUAGAAUGAGUUACAGUUUAUAGCUAAACAAAUACGAACCUUUAUUUGAAACUAUUUAUAUUGAAACACUUGUAAAUGUGUUAAGAUGCAAGACAUCACACACUUUCCCUGCCUUGUUUCAGUGUGUUGUUUCUAUUAAAUGGUAGACAUCUUAAACUGUUAAUUAACUACUUUUAGCAGCAUAUAUAAUUUGCCUUGGUAAAAUAGGCCUCCACAUUGAAAGCAGCCAGUUUUACUGAUGUUCUGUCCAAUUCAUGAUGAUGUUAAUUUGUUCUAGGAAACAGCAUCUUCUUAGAAAUAGAAACAUUGCCAUGGGGGCAGGGAAGAAAAAGCUUCCAGUGUCAUUGAUGCAGGCUUAAUCCCUAUACAUCAAAGGCAUUUUGUAUACUACAGUAUUUUGAAGAGUUAACUACAUAACAGCCUGCCUGCUCACCCCAGUUUCAUAUUUGGUUUUAAAAUAUCUAGACAUCUUCCCUUUCUUGUCCUUUUUGAAUUCCUCCCUCCCUCUUUCAAUCCCCAUUUGGCCUUUGCUGUCAUUUUCCUUAUUCUGGCUCUUUGUUGAUGGCAAACCAGAUUGGGAAGUAUCCACAGUGCAAGAAGAGCUGACUCAGGAAAUGAACCCGCCUUGUUCCCUGAAGACAUUUCACACCAUGUGUGGGUCUUGGUGCAAGACUCUGACAUUGGGUCUACCAGAGUCUGAACCUGUCCUGUGGGUUCAUGCUGCCAUCUUAAUACCCCACUCCUAG
rnacentral:lncRNA from 1 species